UACGUAGGGGGCAAGCGUUGUCCGGAAUUAUUGGGCGUAAAGGGCGCGUAGGCGGUCACGCACGUCCGUUGUGAAAUCGCUCGGCUCAACUGGGCGGGGUCAGCGGAUACGGCGUGGCUGGAGCAAGCUAGGGGGCAAUGGAAUUCCCGGUGUAGUGGUGGAAUGCGUAGAUAUCGGGAGGAACACCAGUGGCGAAGGCGGUUGCCUGGAGCUUUGCUGACGCUGAUGCGCGAAAGCGUGGGGAGCGAUCCGG
rnacentral:rRNA from 1 species